rnacentral:rRNA from 1 species
CUUCGGGGACGAUAACGGCGUCGAGCGGCGGACGGGUGAGUAAUGCCUAGGAAAUUGCCCUGAUGUGGGGGAUAACCAUUGGAAACGAUGGCUAAUACCGCAUGAUGCCUACGGGCCAAAGAGGGGGACCUUCGGGCCUCUCGCGUCAGGAUAUGCCUAGGUGGGAUUAGCUAGUUGGUGAGGUAAGGGCUCACCAAGGCGACGAUCCCUAGCUGGUCUGAGAGGAUGAUCAGCCACACUGGAACUGAGACACGGUCCAGACUCCUACGGGAGGCAGCAGUGGGGAAUAUUGCACAAUGGGCGCAAGCCUGAUGCAGCCAUGCCGCGUGUGUGAAGAAGGCCUUCGGGUUGUAAAGCACUUUCAGUCGUGAGGAAGGUGGUGUAGUUAAUAGCUGCAUUAUUUGACGUUAGCGACAGAAGAAGCACCGGCUAACUCCGUGCCAGCAGCCGCGGUAAUACGGAGGGUGCGAGCGUUAAUCGGAAUUACUGGGCGUAAAGCGCAUGCAGGUGGUUUGUUAAGUCAGAUGUGAAAGCCCGGGGCUCAACCUCGGAAUAGCAUUUGAAACUGGCAGACUAGAGUACUGUAGAGGGGGGUAGAAUUUCAGGUGUAGCGGUGAAAUGCGUAGAGAUCUGAAGGAAUACCGGUGGCGAAGGCGGCCCCCUGGACAGAUACUGACACUCAGAUGCGAAAGCGUGGGGAGCAAACAGGAUUAGAUACCCUGGUAGUCCACGCCGUAAACGAUGUCUACUUGGAGGUUGUGGCCUUGAGCCGUGGCUUUCGGAGCUAACGCGUUAAGUAGACCGCCUGGGGAGUACGGUCGCAAGAUUAAAACUCAAAUGAAUUGACGGGGGCCCGCACAAGCGGUGGAGCAUGUGGUUUAAUUCGAUGCAACGCGAAGAACCUUACCUACUCUUGACAUCCAGAGAACUUUCCAGAGAUGGAUUGGUGCCUUCGGGAACUCUGAGACAGGUGCUGCAUGGCUGUCGUCAGCUCGUGUUGUGAAAUGUUGGGUUAAGUCCCGCAACGAGCGCAACCCUUAUCCUUGUUUGCCAGCGAGUAAUGUCGGGAACUCCAGGGAGACUGCCGGUGAUAAACCGGAGGAAGGUGGGGACGACGUCAAGUCAUCAUGGCCCUUACGAGUAGGGCUACACACGUGCUACAAUGGCGCAUACAGAGGGCGGCCAACUUGCGAAAGUGAGCGAAUCCCAAAAAGUGCGUCGUAGUCCGGAUUGGAGUCUGCAACUCGACUCCAUGAAGUCGGAAUCGCUAGUAAUCGUGGAUCAGAA